GAGAUCCUAUAGUAUCGGCUCCCUCCCUGCUCCAGACAGACGGUAACUGGCCAUGUGCAUAGCAGAGUAAUUGUGUGGGAUACAGGACUCUACUCUUCAAACCCAUGGAGAUGAAGCCCACCAGAACUGUCUCAGGUUUGGCCAGGAUUUCCAGAAUCUUGGAGGGGAUGAGGGACUUCUGCUCCAGGAGAGAGUCAUGACUGGAAACCAGGUGCACAUAAAAGGAGGAGGAUGACCUGGCUCCUGCAAGUCUACAUUUGAAUUGCAGCUGUGCGAUCUGCUGAUGCAUCUGAUCAAAGAGACCAAAGCCCUGUUUGUGCUAGGUGCUGUACAAUCAGGGGACACACAAGUUUCUCCCUGUCCCAUAAAACUCGCAGUUUAGUAACCAGGGCAGACUAUUACCUGAAAUUAUGCCUAGAAUACACAGCUCUUGCCUAUUUGUCUCUUUUUUUUUUUAACCAACCUUUUUGUCCUCCUUUCAUAUUCACAUUUGUUGAAUGCAGCAUUCCCCCUUUUCCUUUGUAAUGCCUUGAACUCUGUUGUUGUAUUAUAUGAACUGUUCAUGUCUGGCAAUACUGGAAACAAUAG